rnacentral:rRNA from 1 species
AUACGGAGGAUCCGAGCGUUAUCCGGAUUUAUUGGGUUUAAAGGGAGCGUAGGCGGACGCUUAAGCCAGUUGUGAAAGUUUGCGGCUCAACCGUAAAAUUGCAGUUGAUACUGGGUGUCUUGAGUACAGUAGAGGCAGGGGGAAUUCGGGGUGGUGAGGGGAAAUGCUUAGAUAUCACGAAGAACUCCGAUUGCGAAGGCAGCCUGCUGGACUGUAACUGACGCUGAUGCUCGAAAGUGUGGGUAUCAAACAGGAUUAGAUACCCUGGUAGUCCACACAGUAAACGAUGAAUACUCGCUGUUUGCGAUAUACAGUAAGCGGCCAAGCGAAAGCGUUAAGUAUUCCACCUGGGGAGUACGCCGGCAACGGUGAAACUCAAAGGAAUUGACGGGG